rnacentral:rRNA from 1 species
UGAGGAAUAUUGGUCAAUGGGCGGGAGCCUGAACCAGCCAAGUCGCGUGAAGGAAGAAGGAUCUAUGGUUCGUAAACUUCUUUUGCAGGGGAAUAAAGUGCAGGACGUGUCCUGUUUUGUAUGUACCCUGAGAAUAAGGAUCGGCUAACUCCGUGCCAGCAGCCGCGGUAAUACGGAGGAUCCGAGCGUUAUCCGGAUUUAUUGGGUUUAAAGGGAGCGUAGGUGGAGGCUUAAGUCAGUUGUGAAAGUUUGCGGCUCAACCGUAAAAUUGCAGUUGAUACUGGGUUUCUUGAGUACAGUAGAGGUGGGCGGAAUUCGUGGUGUAGCGGUGAAAUGCUUAGAUAUCACGAAGAACUCCAAUUGCGAAGGCAGCUCACUAGACUGGCACUGACACUGAUGCUCGAAAGUGUGGGUAUCAAACAGGAUUAGAUACCCUGGUAGUCCACACAGUAAACGAUGAAUACUCGCUGUUUGCGAUAUACAGUAAGCGGCCAAGCGAAAGCAUUAAGUAUUCCACCUGGGGAGUACGCCGGCAACGGUG